rfam:Capsicum annuum cultivar Zunla-1 chromosome 11, whole genome shotgun sequence
ACCUCAUGAUUUGGGCAUUCGAUUAUCUUAUUGUUGAAAUGUUUCCAAGCCUCAUAUAAUGAUUCUCCAUUAAGUUGGCAAAAACUAAUGAUUUUAUCUCUUAGUU